rnacentral:rRNA from 1 species
CUCGUAGGCGGUUCGUCGCGUCCGGUGUGAAAGUCCGUCGCUUAACGGUGGAUCUGCGCCGGGUACGGGCGGGCUGGAGUGCGGUAGGGGAGACUGGAAUUCCCGGUGUAACGGUGGAAUGUGUAGAUAUCGGGAAGAACACCAAUGGCGAAGGCAGGUCUCUGGGCCGUUACUGACGCUGAGGAGCGAAAGCGUGGGGAGCGAACA